rnacentral:rRNA from 1 species
CAGUACCACGGGAAUACGUAGGGUGCAAGCGUUAAUCGGAAUUACUGGGCGUAAAGCGUGCGCAGGCGGUUAUAUAAGACAGAUGUGAAAUCCCCGGGCUCAACCUGGGAACUGCAUUUGUGACUGUAUAGCUAGAGUACGGCAGAGGGGGAUGGAAUUCCGCGUGUAGCAGUGAAAUGCGUAGAUAUGCGGAGGAACACCGAUGGCGAAGGCAAUCCCCUGGGCCUGUACUGACGCUCAUGCACGAAAGCGUGGGGAGCAAACAGGAUUAGAUACCCGAGUAGUCCCUGUCUCUUAUACA